rfam:Marchantia polymorpha subsp. polymorpha scaffold4413, whole genome shotgun sequence.
GUGAGCCGUGUAAUGGGCAACUAUUUCGCACGGUUCGGAGGGCACUUCAGUAAGCCUUACAAGGGCUGAAGUCUUGACCCCUAU